UAUAUUUGGCCUGAAAUUGGUUCAGCCUGCCAACAGCAGGCCGAUUAAAAGGGAACCUGGUGUAAAUCCGGGACUAUCCCCGUAGCUGUAAAUUUCCAUCCAAUUGUUCAGUCCCGCAGCCACUGUGCAUCGCAGCUUUCGCUAAGGUUCAUGGGAAGGCGCUGAAUAAGGAAAUAAGUCAGAAGACCUGCCAGUUCAUAUUUCGUCAC
rnacentral:ncRNA from 2 species